rnacentral:rRNA from 1 species
CUAGAAGACAUCUGAAGGAGNUUAAAGAUUUAUCGGUGAUGGAUGGGGAUGCGUCUGAUUAGCUUGUUGGCGGGGUAACGGCCCACCAAGGCGACGAUCGAGUAGGGGUUCUGAGAGGAAGGUCCCCCACAUUGGAACUGGAGACACGGUCCAAACUCCUACGGGAGGCAGCAGUGAGGAAUAUUGGUCAAUGGGCGAGAGCCUGAACCAGCCAAGUAGCGUGCAGGAUGACGGCCCUAUGGGUUGUAAACUGCUUUUAUAAGGGAAUAAAAGUGGGAGUCGUGACUCUUUUUGCAUGUACCUUAUGAAUAAGGACCGGCUAAUUCCGUG